UUCCGAACAACUGAAUCGAAACAAAAGAUUCAUUCGCUUCACGAAGUGUUUGAAAGCUCCCAUCACUGGCCAGUGCUACACACAAGCUAUAGGCUGUCUACAGGAAGCGAAAAUACCAGCGUUGUCAUUUGUCUGUCAGUUCUUCACAAACAAAAAGCACCAGUUUACUUGCCGAGAUUCAUCGUGACGUCUUGCUGCGCGCGCCGCCUCUCGUUGAGAAAGCGUCACUGAUUAUAAUGUCUUCUUUUGUCUUAUGUUCUGUGUAGACAAGGUGUUACUUUCACUUUCACUUGAGAUCAUUAAUAUUAAAGAAGAAGGAGGACAUUUCGUUUGAGUCUUCUUUAUGAUGAAAGCGGUGAAAAUGAAGUUUACCUUUAUAUUGCUGUCCGUCGGAUUGUUUUUAACGCACAAUGGUGUGUCUGGUGUUGCGGCAGAUGUGUCAGUGUCAGUGAUGGAGGGAGAUUCAGUCACUUUACUCACUGGUAUUAAGAAAAACAAGAAGACAGAAUCAGAUGGUAUUGUAAUGACACUCGCAUCGCUCAAAUCAAUGGAGAUCCUAGUAAGACCUGUACAGAUGUUCAGUGUAAUGAAGGGACUGAGAGAUUCAGAGACAGACUGAAGCUGGAUCAUCAGACUGGAUCUCUGACCAUCAGGAACAUCACAAACACAGACUCUGGACUUUAUCAACUGAAGAUCUUCAGCAGCAACAGCAUCAGUGAAAAGACCUUCCGUCUUUCUGUCCGUGGUGUGUUUGUUGAUGCAGAUGCAGUGGAGUCAGUGUCAGUGACGGAGGGAGAUUCAGUCACUCUAGACUCUGGUCUUAAUGACAUAAUGGAUGAAGAUCUGAUACAGUGGAGAUUUGGAUCUGAAAACACUUUAAUAGCUGAAAUCAAUGUACUGGCCGGCAGCGUCACUGUAUUUGAUGAUGUUCUUGAUGGGAGAUUCAGAGACAGACUGAGGCUGGAUCAUCAAACUGGAUCUCUGAUCAUCACAAACACCAGAACUGAACACACUGGAGAAUAUCAAAUACAGAUCAACAUUGUGAUUAAGAGAUUCAGUCUCACUGUCUAUGCUCGUCUGUCUGUUCCUGUCAUCAGCAGAGACUCUCCACAAUGUUCAUCUUCA